rnacentral:rRNA from 2 species
GCAUAUCAAUAAGCGGAGGAAAGGAAACCAACAGGGAUUGCCCCAGUAACGGCGAGUGAAGCGGCAACAGCUCAAAUUUGAAAUCUGGCCCUUGGGUCCGAGUUGUAAUUUGUAGAGGAUGCUUUUGGCGAGGUGCCUUCCGAGUUCCCUGGAACGGGACGCCAUAGAGGGUGAGAGCCCCGUCUGGUCGGACACCGAGCCUCUGUAAAGCUCCUUCGACGAGUCGAGUAGUUUGGGAAUGCUGCUCAAAAUGGGAGGUAUAUGUCUUCUAAAGCUAAAUAUUGGCCAGAGACCGAUAGCGCACAAGUAGAGUGAUCGAAAGAUGAAAAGCACUUUGAAAAGAGGGUUAAAAAGUACGUGAAAUUGUUGAAAGGGAAGCGCCUAUGACCAGACUUGGGCCCGGUGAAUCAUCCAGCGUUCUCGCUGGUGCACUUUGCCGGGCACAGGCCAGCAUCAGUUUGGCGCGGGGGAAAAAGGCUUUGGGAAUGUGGCUCCCUCGGGAGUGUUAUAGCCCAUUGUGUAAUACCCUGCGCCGGACUGAGGUACGCGCAUUGCAAGGAUGCUGGCGUAAUGGUCAUCAGCGACCCGUCUUGAAACACGGACC